AGGGAGAGAGACAAAAGAGAGGGAGAAAAGAGGGGGUGGUAGAGAGUGGUAGAGGGAGAAAAGAGGGGGUGGUAGAGAGUGGUAGAGGGAGAAAAGAGGGGGUGGUAGAGAGUGGUAGAGGGAGAAAAGAGGGGGUGGUAGAGAGUGGUAGAGGGAGAAAAGAGGGAGUGGUAGAGAGUGGUAGAGGGAGAAAAGAGGGAGUGGUAGAGAGUGGUAGAGGGAGAAAAGAGGGAGUGGUAGAGAGUGGUAGAGGGAGAAAAGAGGGAGUGGUAGAGAGUGGUAGAGGGAGAAAAGAGGGGGUGGUAGAGAGUGGUAGAGGGAGAAAGAGGGAGUGGUAGAGAGUGGUAGAGGGAGAAAAGAGGGAGUGGUAGAGAGUGGUAGAGGGAGAAAAGAGGGAGUGGUAGAGAGUGGUAGAGGGAGAAAAGAGGGAGUGGUAGAGAGUGGUAGAGGGAGAAAAGAGGGAGUGGUAGAGAGUGGUAGAGGGAGAAAAGAGGGGGUGGUAGAGUGUGGUAGAGGGAGAAAAGAGGGAGUGGUAGAGAGUGGUAGAGGGAGAAAAGAGGGGGUGGUAGAGAGUGGUAGAGGGAGAAAAGAGGGGGUGGUAGAGAGUGGUAGAGGGAGAAAAGAGGGAGUGGUAGAGAGUGGUAGAGGGAGAAAAGAGGGGGUGGUAGAGAGUGGUAGAGGGAGAAAAGAGGGAGUGGGAGUGGUAGAGAGUGGUAGAGGGAGAAAAGAGGGGGUGGUAGAGAGUGGUAGAGGGAGAAAAGAGGGGGUGGUAGAGAGUGGUAGAGGGAGAAAAGAGGGAGUGGUAGAGAG